ACGGGGUGCAGCAGGCGCGAAACCUUUACAAUGCACGAAAGUGUGAUAAGGGAACCCAAAGUGCUUAGCUUAGCUAAGCUUUUGCCAAGAGUAAAUAUCUUGGAGAAUAAGUGGUGGGCAAGACUGGUGCCAGCCGCCGCGGUAAUACCAGCGCCACGAGUGGGAACUAUGAUUAUUGGGCCUAAAGCGUCCGUAGCCUGUUUGAUAAAUUUCUUGUGAAAUUGUUAAGCUCAACUUAACGAAAUGCAGGAAAGACUGUCAAACUUGGGACUGGGAGGAGUUAGAAGUAUCUUUGGGGUAGCGGUAAAAUGUUAUAAUCCUAAAGAGACUACCUAUGGCGAAAGCAUCUAACCAGAACAGGUCCGACGGUGAGGAACGAAAGCUAGGGGAGCAAAACGGAUUAGAUACCCGAGUAGUCCUAGCCAUAAACGCUGCGAGCAAGAUGUUGCAUAUUCUUCGGGAAUAUGCAGUAUCGAAGAGAAGUCAUUAAGCUCGCCGCCUGGGAAGUAUGGUCGCAAGACUGAAACCUAAAGGAAUUGGCGGGGGAGCAC
rnacentral:rRNA from 1 species